GUAAUGUAUGGGGAUCUGCCUGAUGGCGGGGGGUAACUACUGGAAACGGUAGCUAAUACCGCAUAAUGUCUGCGGACCAAAGCGGGGGACCUCCGGGCCUCGCGCCAUCAGAUGAACCCAUAUGGGAUUAGCUAGUAGGUGAGGUAACGGCUUACCUAGGCGACGAUCCCUAGCUGGUCUGAGAGGAUGAUCAGCCACACUGGGACUGAGACACGGCCCAG
rnacentral:rRNA from 1 species